CGGCCACAUUGGGACUGAGACACGGCCCAAACUCCUACGGGAGGCAGCAGUGGGGAAUAUUGCACAAUGGGGGAAACCCUGAUGCAGCAACGCCGCGUGAGUGAAGAAGUAUUUCGGUAUGUAAAGCUCUAUCAGCAGGAAAGAAAAUGACGGUACCUGACUAAGAAGCCCCGGCUAACUACGUGCCAGCAGCCGCGGUAAUACGUAGGGGGCAAGCGUUAUCCGGAUUUACUGGGUGUAAAGGGAGCGUAGACGGUUUUGCAAGUCUGAAGUGAAAGCCCGGGGCUUAACCCCGGGACUGCUUUGGAAACUGUAGAACUAGAGUGCAGGAGAGGUAAGUGGAAUUCCUAGUGUAGCGGUGAAAUGCGUAGAUAUUAGGAGGAACACCAGUGGCGAAGGCGGCUUACUGGACUGUAACUGACGUUGAGGCUCGAAAGCGUGGGGAGCAAACAGGAUUAGAUACCCUGGUAGUCCACGCCGUAAACGCUGAAUAGGAGGUGUUGGUGGGUAUGACCCAUCGGUGCCGCAG
rnacentral:rRNA from 1 species